CUGUCACAAUGACGGAGUCCGGUUUCGGCCGGACUAGGUGAUCCACACCGGUGCUUCGGACAGCGGUUCGAUUCCGCUCAGCUCCACUUUCCACCUACGGGCGGAUCUUUCAGGGG
rnacentral:tmRNA from 1 species